rnacentral:rRNA from 1 species
AGAGUUUGAUCCUGGCUCAGGACGAACGCUGGCGGCGUGCUUAACACAUGCAAGUGGAGCGACGAACCAGGCUUCGGCCUGGGGCAGAGCCGCGAACGGGUGAGUAACACGUGGGUUACCUGCCCCGAUGAUCGGGACAACCCGAGGAAACUCGGGCUAAUACCGAAUGUGACCUCCGGCCAUAAGGCCGCUGGGGAAAG